rnacentral:rRNA from 1 species
CGUAAACGGUGGGCACUAGUUGUGGGGACCUUCCACGGUCUCUGCGACGCAGCUAACGCAUUAAGUGCCCCGCCUGGGGAGUACGAUCGCAAGAUUAAAACUCAAAGGAAUUGACGGGGCCCCGCACAAGCAGCGGAGCAUGCGGCUUAAUUCGACGCAACGCGAAGAACCUUACCAAGGCUUGACAUAUACAGGAAUAUGGCAGAGAUGUCAUAGCCGCAAGGUCUGUAUACAGGUGGUGCAUGGUUGUCGUCAGCUCGUGUCGUGAGAUAUUGGGUUAAGUCCCGCAACGAGCGCAACCCUCGUUCUGUGUUGCCAGCAUUUAGUUGGGGACUCACAGGAGACUGCCGGGGUUAACUCGGAGGAAGGUGGGGAUGACGUCAAAUCAUCAUGCCCCUUAUGUCUUGGGCUGCACGCAUGCUACAAUGGCUGGUACAAACGGCUGCAAUACCGCAAGGUGGAGCGAAUCCGAGAAAGCCAGUCUCAGUUCGGAUUGGGGUCUGCAACUCGACCCCAUGAAGUCGGAGUUGCUAGUAAUCGUAGAUCAGCAACGCUACGGUGAAUACGUUCCCGGGGCUUGUACACACCGCCCGUCACGUCACGAAAGUCGGUAAC